UACGUAUGGUGCAAGCGUUAUCCGGAUUUACUGGGUGUAAAGGGAGCGCAGGCGGCACGGCAAGCCUGAUGUGAAAGCCAGCGGCCCAACCGCGGGACUGCAUUGGGAACUACCGGGCUGGAGUGCCGGAGAGGUAGGCGGAAUUCCUAGUGUAGCGGUGAAAUGCGUAGAUAUUAGGAGGAACACCAGUGGCGAAGGCGGCCUACUGGACGGUGACUGACGCUGAGGCUCGAAAGCGUGGGGAGCAAACAGG
rnacentral:rRNA from 1 species